UACGGAGGGGGCUAGCGUUGUUCGGAAUUACUGGGCGUAAAGCGCACGUAGGCGGCUUUGCAAGUUAGAGGUGAAAGCCCUUGGCUUAACCGAGGAAGUGCAUCCGAAACUGGCGAGCUAGAGUACUAAAGAGGAUCGCGGAAUUCCCGGUGUAGAGGUGAAAUUCGUAGAUAUCGGGAGGAACACCGGUGGCGAAGGCGGCGAUCUGGGUAGAUACUGACGCUGAGGUGCGAAAGCGUGGGGAGCAAACAGG
rnacentral:rRNA from 1 species